rnacentral:rRNA from 1 species
AUUGAACGCUGGCGGCAGGCCUAACACAUGCAAGUCGAGCGAGCGGCGGACGGGUGAGUAAUGUAUGGGGACUGCCCGAUAGAGGGGGAUAACUACUGGAAACGGUGGCUAAUACCGCAUACUAUCGGAUAACCCAUAUGGGAUUAGCUAGUAGGUGGGGUAAAGGCUCGCCUAGGCGACGAUCCCUAGCUGGUCUGAGAGGAUGAUAAGCCACGAUGGGACUGAGGAACAGACCAAACACAUACGGGGGCAGCCGUGGGGAAUAUUGAACAAUGGGCGCAAGCAUGAUGCAGCCAUGCCGAGUGUAUGAAGAAGGCCUUAGGGUUGUAAAGUGCUUUCAGCGGGGAGGCGUUACCCUCAGAAGAAGCACCGGCUAGCUCCGUGCCAGCCGCCGCGGUAAUUC